GACGAACGCUGGCGGCGUGCUUAACACAUGCAAGUCGAACGGUGAACCUCUUCGGAGGGGAUCAGUGGCGAACGGGUGAGUAACACGUGGGCAACCUGCCCCCGGCUCUGGGAUAACUCCAAGAAAUUGGGGCUAAUACCGGAUGUUCACCGCUUCCCGCAUGGGUGGUGGUGCAAAGGGUUUCCGGCUGGGGAUGGGCGCGCGGCCUAUCAGCUUGUUGGUGGGGUAGUGGCCUACCAAGGCGACGACGGGUAGCCGGCCUGAGAGGGUGACCGGCCACACUGGGACUGAGACACGGCCCAGACUCCUACGGGAGGCAGCAGUGGGGAAUAUUGCGCAAUGGGCGGAAGCCUGACGCAGCGACGCCGCGUGGGGGAUGACGGCCUUCGGGUUGUAAACCUCUUUCAGCAGGGACGAAGCGCAAGUGACGGUACCUGCAGAAGAAGCACCGGCCAACUACGUG
rnacentral:rRNA from 1 species